rnacentral:rRNA from 1 species
GGGGGAAAAUUAAUAAAUAUAAUAAUAAUAAAAAAUUUUUAAUAUUGGGGGAUAUUGAAGUAUUUUUUAAGGAAAAAUAAAAAAAAUUAUAGUUAAUUAGUAUUGUAAAAUAAAUUUGAAAUAAAUGAAAAUAAAUUAUUUUAAAAGUAAUUUUUAUUUAGUGUAUCUUGUGUAUCAGAGUUUAUUAAAAAAUAUUUUUUAAUAAAAAAAAUCUCGAAUUUAAAAGAGUUAAUUAAUUAUAAAAUUUAAUGUUGAAUAAUUAUUUUAAAUAAUUAAUUAGAAAUGAAAUGUUAAUCGUUUUUAAAUAUAUCUAGUUUUUUUAGAAAUAAAUUUAAUUUAAAAUUUAAAAAAUUUUAUUAAAAAUUUUAUUAAUAAUAAAAUAUUUAAAAUUAAAUAUAUUAAGGGAUAAGCUUUAAUGUAAAAAUUUAUAAUUAAAAAUUAAAUUAAAUAAAAAUUUUAAAAUUUAUAUUGUUUAAAAAUUAUAAUUUAUUAUAAAAAAAUUUUAUUAAAAAUAAAAUUUAAUAAAAAUAAUUUAAUUUUAUAUAAAAUAAUAAUUUUUAAUAAAAAAAAAUUAGUAAUAAUGAUAAAAUUAGUAUAUUAAAAUAAAAAUAAAUAAAAAUAAUAAUUAAAAUUAAAUUAAAGGAAUUCGGCAAAUAUAUAUAUUCACUUGUUUAUCAAAAACAUGUCUUUUAGAAAAUAAUUUAAAGUCUAAUCUGCCCACUGAUAAUUAUAUUAAAGGGCUGCAGUAUAUUGACUGUACAAAGGUAGCAUAAUCAAUAGUCUUUUAAUUGAAGACUUGUAUGAAGGAUUUGAUGAGAUAUAGACUGUCUCUAGUUUAUUAUUAUAGAAAUUAAUUUUUUAGUUAAAAAGCUAAAAUUUUUUUAAAAGACGAGAAGACCCUAUAGAGUUUUAUAUUUAUUUUAUUUAAGAUUAUAUUUAUAAUUAAAAAUUAAAAAUAAAAUAAAUAUUUUGUUGGGGUGAUAAAAAAAUUAAAAUAACUUUUUUUAACAAAUAACAAAAAUAAUUGAAAAAUUGAUCCAUAAUUUAUGAUUAAAAGAAAUAAUUACCUUAGGGAUAACAGCGUAAUAUUUUUUUUUAGUACAAAUAAAAAAAAAAGUUUGCGACCUCGAUGUUGGAUUAAGAUAAAAUUUAAAUGCAAAAGUUUAAAAUUUUGAUCUGUUCGAUCAUUAAAAUCUUACAUGAUCUGAGCUCAAACCGGUGUGAGCCAGGUUGGUUUCUAUCUUUAGAAUUAUAAAAUAUUUUAGUACGAAAGGAUCAAAUAUUUUUAAUAAUUAAAAUUAAAUUGAAUAUUAAUAAAGUUAAUUAU